rnacentral:tRNA from 1 species
AUUUAAAUAGUUUAUUUAAAAUUUUGAUUUGUGAAAUCAAAGAUAUAUAUAUAUAUAUAUUUUAAAUU